rnacentral:lncRNA from 1 species
AUCUUCAGAAGACCUUACUGCUUCAUCUGAUCUGGGAUGAUUCACUAAUGUAGGUGAUGCCAUAGAAUCACUCUCAAGAGGAGGAAGUAUCACUGCAAUGUCUUUCGACCUCAAUGACAUGAAAGAGAAAAGAAAAAAAAAUCACACCUUAAGAUCUUUUGAUCUUAUUAACAGAUCUUAAUGAGCUAGUGGAUCAUGAUGAGAUGAUCUGGAUCCCUGCUCUG